rnacentral:rRNA from 1 species
GAACCGAGCGAACGUUGUUCGGAAUCACUGGGCUUAAAGGGCGCGUAGGCGGGCUGUCAAGUCUGGGGUGAAAUCCCGCGGCUCAACCGUGGAACUGCCUUAGAUACUGACGGCCUCGAGGGAGAUAGGGGCGAGCGGAACUGUGAGUGGAGCGGUGAAAUGCGUUGAUAUUCACAGGAACUCCGGUGGCGAAGGCGGCUCGCUGGAUCUCUUCUGACGCUGAGGCGCGAAAGCUAGGGGAGCAAACGGGAUUAGAUACCCCGGUAGUCCUAGCCCUAAACGUUGGGUACUGGGUAGUAGACUAGACAUGGGUUUACUGCCGCAGCAAAAGUGCUAAGUACCCCGCCUGGGGAGUAUGGUCGCAAGGCUG